UUGGAAAAUAAACUAAAUAAAGUUUCAGAACUCAUAAUUCUGCUAUAUGGAUAAUUCAUUUUUCCAAA